rnacentral:rRNA from 1 species
UACGUAGGUGGCAAGCGUUGUCCGGAAUUAUUGGGCGUAAAGCGCGCGCAGGUGGUUCCUUAAGUCUGAUGUGAAAGCCCCCGGGCUCAACCGGGGAGGGUCAUUGGAAACUGGGAGACUUGAGUGCAGAAGAGAAGAGUGGAAUUCCACGUGUAGCGGUGAAAUGCGUAGAGAUGUGGAGGAACACCAGUGGCGAAGGCGACUCUUUGGUCUGUAACUGACGCUGAGGCGCGAAAGCGUGGGGAGCAAACAGG